rnacentral:snoRNA from 1 species
GCCUUCUCCAUGAGCUCCUUCCUGCUUUUUAAGACCUGUGGCAGGCUAUGGAUUUGCAUGAGAAGAAGAGGAAAGCUACAGCACUGGCUUUGAGAAGUUCCUCUCUCGUUCAGAAGAGGGGGAUUGUCUUUGCUGUGGAACAGCU